rnacentral:lncRNA from 10 species
GCAUUGUGAGAGGCCCAAGCCACACACAGAGGCCGCACACCAGUGCUCUGGUUACAGCCCCAGCCAACAGCCCUUAUUACUGCCAGCUGUGUAGAUGAGGCACCAGGUACUCAGCCCAGCCAGGCUCCCCAAUAACUCCAGCCCCACAGCUGCAUAGAAGUCGCUGAGUGAAACCUACCCAGAUAAGCCCAUCCAACCUACAAAAGCAUGAGAAAUAAUAAAACAUUACUGUCUUAAGCCAUUAAGUUUGGGUGUCAUUUCUGCCCAGCAAAUAGAUAACAAGAACAAUUGUAUGGGAGAGGUUGGUGAAAGCCAAGUCCCCUACCCACAGGAAGGGGCAGGUUCCCCUAAUUGCAUUGUGAGAGGCCUUUUCCUUAUGGCUCUUCACUUCUCCUGUUCCAAACUCCUACAGAAUGCAACAACUGGACAUCAGAGUCAACAGGAGCUGGGAUGACUCUCAAAUCUACAUGCUUCAUUGUACAAAGAAUGUGAAGCUCAAAGAGAUAAGGGAGGUGGUGGGUGUGGAGGAUUCAAGCACAGGUCAGAGGAAGCAGCUCUGUGCAUCUUGGACUGUGAGUUGUCCAUGGUUGGUUGGCCUUCACCCAGGCACCCACGGAGGAUGGUUACUGCUUAUCAGAUUAUCAGCAUUCAGGCUGUCUUCUCCCUGGCACAACCUCUUCUGUCUGCCACAAACCAGGCAUAGAAUUUUGAUGGAAAUCUACAUGUUUCCUUUUUGCAGACCUCCCUCAAGACCUCCUCCAUCUGCUGUUGGGCCCCAUCUUUUACCAAGGACCCCUCUCCAGAGGGCAGUAGAGUCUCAUCCCCUCUCCUCUUGUACCUACAGACACUGCUGCUUCAAACUUCAGCUGGAUGUCCAAGGAGUCUUCUGCUUCUCUCACGGGAAAGCGGGGUAGCUCUGAUUCUGUGGGUGGGCUCACUGGGGUGGGAUGAAAAGGUGGGAGGAAACCCUUGUCCUUGAAUUUGGUUCAGUGUUUCCCUAGCUGAAAUGAGCGCAACUCAGUUGCCAAAACCAAAAUUGUUUGCUGGUUUGAGAACUUGCUAGCAGGGCUUGUGCAUUUACAGCUACACGAGGAAUACAUGUUCCUCCUAUAGCACAACUUGGCCCCUUCCACUUGUAAAUUAAUAAUAAUAACUGCAGACUUUUUUAUACAAAAGCUGCAGUCGUCUUCCUUCCAGGCCUGCAUUCCAGUGUAAAGAUCCUUCAUGUGAACUGCCAGUCCCUCUGCUCAGGCUAUAUGUGUUGAAGGGCACCAUUCUCAAGCAGGUUCUUUUUGAUCCCCAAAUUUUUCCGUAAUAGACAGCAAAAGGUUUCAGUCCAAUCCUGUGUAUACUCCAUAUGGCAAUUUAAGCCUAUAAGACCCCUUGGAGAUGGAGAUGAACUCAGCUCCAAACACUUAUUUUACCACUUGAUGAAUUCAACAUAUUACCUGUGAUCACCCCACCGUCUGCCCCUGUGUCAUCAGGGCUCACUCUCCACCCUAACUCCACUCUCUUUUCUCUUCCCACAGUUGCCAAGAAUGGUGUCCCAGCAUUCACACCCUUGUGCAGUGCCCGCCCAUAUUGUGUUAGGGUAAAUCUCUGUGACAGUAGCAUAUGGCAGAAGAACGUGGUGGGCGUCAUGCUGUGAGCAGCCCAAUGGAGAGACCCAUGUGGUAAGGAAUGAAAGUCCCUUGGAAGCAGACCCUCCCACCCCAGUCAAGCCUGACGUGUGAGAUCCUGAACCAGCACCAUCAAGCUAAAUCAAUCCCAGACUCCUAACCCUCAGAAACUGUGUGAGAUAAUAAAUAAUGUGAGAUAAAACCUACUAACUUUGGGGAUAAUUUGUUACACAGCAAUAAAUAACUAACGCACUCCUCUGUCCACAGUGAUAGUGCAAAACUCAGUCCCAUGCACCUUCCACAAGAAAGGUGUGUUCCACUAAAGACAUGUGGAGCCAUAGGGGAGAAUUAUGCACAUAAGUGUAGCAUUCCUUUUCCCUGGCUCUGUCUCUAUGUGCUUCCUCUCAGAACUGCUACCUUCUGAAGACCCACGUUGCAGACACGUGGCCUCUAUGCCAGGUGACAUCCCCUGGGACACCUAGUCCAGUCUUUCUCCCAAAUCUGCCCACUGUCACAUCACAUCUGCUUUAAAAUGAGGUCACUCUGUACCUACUACUGAUAAAAUUGCAUUUUCAUUUAUCAUAUUAUAUAAGUCCUUCCAAACCAACAAAUAUCCUUGUAAGAAGCAUCUUUUCAAUAAUUGCAAACUAUUCCCUUGUGUAUGAAUAGAACAGAAUUUAUUAACCUUAUCCAUUUUGUGCUACAUUUCAAUUAUUUCCUGGAUUUAUAAAAAAUACUCCAGUGCAUAUCCUUGGAACUAAGUCUUUGAAGAGAUCUUUAGUAAUUUUCAUGGGAUAAAUUUCUUGACAGAUAAAGGCAAGGAAAUGAAGAGAUUUUAGGCUGUUAUAGCAUUUGGUAUUCAUUGCCUUACAGAGUUCCAAAAAUAAUUAUGCAACUUUUGUUAUGAUUGAUAUUAGGGUUCUGAGGGGGCCUGCACUCCCGCUUAAAUUGUGGAUUAUUUAAAUGUAUUUCUGAAAUGUUUGCCCUCUGUCAAAUGCUGUUAUUUUCAAA